GGGGGUAUAGCUCAGUUGGUAGAGCGCUUCGUUCGCAUCGAAGAGGCCAGCGGUUCGAAUCCGCUUACCUCCACCA
rnacentral:tRNA from 1 species